UUAACGAUUACAUAAGGGCUCAGACAACACAAUCAAGAGCGUGUGUGGGUCUCUGACGGGCACGCACCAGCCGGGGGGCCGGUGGCCGAACGGACGGCCCGCCAAAGCAACAAAGUUGGAUAAGCUAGGGUGGGAGAUGUACCCCGGGGGGGCAGGAACUCGAUAAUGAUCCUUCCGCAGGUUCACCUACGGAAA
rnacentral:misc_RNA from 1 species